rnacentral:rRNA from 1 species
UACGUAGGGUGCAAGCGUUGUCCGGAAUUAUUGGGCGUAAAGAGCUCGUAGGCGGUCUGUCGCGUCGGCUGUGAAAACCCGGGGCUCAACCCCGGGCCUGCAGUCGAUACGGGCAAACUGGAGUGUUGCAGGGGAGACUGGAAUUCCUGGUGUAGCGGUGAAAUGCGCAGAUAUCAGGAGGAACACCGGUGGCGAAGGCGGGUCUCUGGGCAACAACUGACGCUGAGGAGCGAAAGCUAGGGGAGCGAACAGG